rnacentral:rRNA from 1 species
AUGUGCGAUUUGAGGCAUCUUGAUGGAGCUUUUAUGGAGCAAGAGUUGCUGGCUGCGAUCUCCGAAUCGUAUGGUGAAAAGGCACCAGGUUCAGAUGGGUUCACGGGUGCUUUUUUCAAAAGAUGCUGGCAAAUAGUUAAGAUGGAUCUGUUAGCUGCUGUAAAUUGUGUCGCCAGCCUCAGAGGACAGAAUUGGAAGCUCAUUAACACGCCAAACGUUGUGUUGCUGCCAAAGAAGGAGGGGGCACAGGAUGCCUGCGAUUUCAGACCUAUUAGUCUCAUUCAUAGCAUCCCAAAGCUGGUGAGCAAGAUGUUGGCAGCUCGGGUCACCCCGGAGAUAAACUUCCUGGUCACGCAUAAUCAGAGUGCCUUUAUCCGGGGACGUUUAAUUCAGGAUAACUUCCUCUAUGUGAGGAAUGUUCUCAAGGCCGCGCACUCGGCCAAAGCCCCUCUGGUUUUCCUCAAGCUCGAUGUGGCCAAGGCGUUUGACUCUGUCUCAUGGAGUUUCUUGCUUGAGGUUUUGGAGGCAAUGGGAUUUGGGCAGAGGUGGAGGGACAUGAUCUCUUUGAUACUUUCCUCCUCCUCUUCAAGAGUGUUGUUGAACGGAUCCCCGGGAUCGCCGUUUCUGCAUAUGAGAGGUUUCAGGCAGGGGGAUCCCCUUUCCCCUUUGCUAUUCAUUCUAGCAAUGGAGCCGCUGCAAAGAUUGUUGUCCUUGGCCACGGAAAGAAGGAUUCUGGCGCCUCUGAAUAUUCGCAUUGAGUGA